GUAUUCGCUUCGGCGGUACGUGUACUGGUGCUGGGGUGAUGCAGGAAGGAUUAGCUUGGCCCCUGCGCAAGGAUGACAUGCGGGAUCGUGAGCCAUUCCAUAUUUUU